UACGGAGGGUGCGAGCGUUGUCCGGAAUCACUGGGCGUAAAGGGCGCGUAGGUGGCGCGACAAGUCAACGGUGAAAGCUCGGCGCUCAACGCCGAGUCGGCCGUCGAUACUGUUGGGCUUGAGCACUGUAGAGGCUAAUGGAAUUCCGGGUGUAGCGGUGGAAUGCGUAGAUAUCCGGAGGAACACCAGUGGCGAAAGCGGCCACCUGGACUGCACCUGACGCUGACACGCGAAAGCUAGGGGAGCGAACGGG
rnacentral:rRNA from 1 species